rnacentral:rRNA from 1 species
CGUAGGGUGCGAGCGUUAAUCGGGAAUUACUGGGCGUAAAGCGUGCGCAGGCGGUUUUGUAAGACAGAUGUGAAAUCCCCGGGCUCAACCUGGGACCUGCAUUUGUGACUGCAAGGCUAGAGUACGGUAGAGGGGGAUGGAAUUCCGCGUGUAGCAGUGAAAUGCGUAGAUAUGCGGAGGAACACCGAUGGCGAAGGCAAUCCCCUGGACCUGUACUGACGCUCAUGCACGAAAGCGUGGGGAGCAAACAGGAUUAGAUACCCUGGUAGUCCACGCCCUAAACGAUGUCAACUGGUCGUUGGGUCUUUACUGACUCAGUAACGAAGCUAACGCGUGAAGUUGACCGCCUGGGGAGUACGGCCGCAAGGUUG